rnacentral:ncRNA from 1 species
GCAGAGUAGACAGCAAUGCGUUUUUUGUUAAAAAAGCAGUGCCUUUUGAACGGGGAGUUGUCAAAAGGACGAAUGAUGAAAAUCGACGGUGUUGUUGUCGCAUCCCGCUGC